GCUGAGACCGCACUAUCCGUGUUAAGUUUUAUCCAACCCCUUUUCAGUCAAGUCUAAUGCAACAACGUGAGCAUAGGACUUGGCUGAAACAAACUCGAACCAGAUUCUGCAUAAUUCCUUGCCCAAGAAUGACUUGUAACCACAAGUUUGAACACAACUAUGGUUAUUAGAAAAAACAAAUGAGUUCCAAUCUUUCCAAAGCAACCAACAUAUUAUAGAAAACAGAGUCUGCCAAACCAAAU
rnacentral:lncRNA from 1 species